UACGGGGGGGGCAAGCGUUGUUCGGAAUUAUUGGGCGUAAAGAGCUUGUAGGCGGUUUGUCGCGUCUGCUGUGAAAUUUCGGGGCUCAACCCCGAACUUGCAGUGGGUACGGGCAGACUAGAGUGUGGUAGGGGAGACUGGAAUUCCUGGUGUAGCGGUGAAAUGCGCAGAUAUCAGGAAGAACACCAACGGCGAAGGCAGCUCGCUAGGACGGUACUGACGCUGAGACGCGAAAGCGUGGGGAGCGAACAGG
rnacentral:rRNA from 1 species